GAUGAACGCUGGCGGCGUGCCUAAUACAUGCAAGUCGAGCGAAUGAAGAGGAGCUUGCUCCUCAGAUUUAGCGGCGGACGGGUGAGUAACACGUGGGUAAUCUGCCUGUAAGACGGGGAUAACUCCGGGAAACCGGGGCUAAUACCGGAUAAUAAGAAGAAACGCAUGUUUCUUUUUUGAAAGUCGGCAUCUCGCUGACACUUACAGAUGAGCCCGCGGCGCAUUAGCUAGUUGGUGAGGUAACGGCUCACCAAGGCGACGAUGCGUAGCCGACCUGAGAGGGUGAUCGGCCACACUGGGACUGAGACACGGCCCAGACGCCUACGGGAGGCAGCAGUAGGGAAUCUUCGGCAAUGGGCGAAAGCCUGACCGAGCAACGCCGCGUGAGCGAUGAAGGCCUUCGGGUCGUAAAGCUCUGUUGUUAGAGAAGAACAAGUACGAGAGUAACUGCUCGUACCUUGACGGUACCUAACCAGAAAGCCACGGCUAACUACGUGCCAGCCGCCGCGGUAAGAC
rnacentral:rRNA from 1 species